UACAGAGGUCUCAAGCGUUGUUCGGAUUCAUUGGGCGUAAAGGGUGUGUAGGUGGCGCCGUAAGUCGGGUGUGAAAUCUCGGGGCUUAACUCCGAAACUGCAUUCGAUACUGCGGUGCUUGAGGACUGGAGAGGAGACUGGAAUUCAUGGUGUAGCAGUGAAAUGCGUAGAGAUCAUGAGGAACACCGAUGGCGAAGGCAGGUCUCUGGGCCAUAACUGACGCUGAGAAGCGAAAGCAUGGGGAGCGAACAGG
rnacentral:rRNA from 1 species